GUAUUCACUUCAGCAGCACAUAUACUAAAAUUGGAAUGAUACAGAGAAGAUUAGCAUCGCCCCUGCACAAGGAUGACAUGCAAAUUCAUGAAGCGUUCCAUAUUUAA
rnacentral:snRNA from 1 species